rnacentral:rRNA from 1 species
UACGGGGGGGGCAAGCGUUGUUCGGAAUUACUGGGCGUAAAGGGUUUGUAGGUGGCCCGCUAAGUCACACGUGAAAUCCCUCAGCUUAACUGGGGAACUGCGUGUGAGACUGGCAGGCUCGAGGGCAGGAGAGGAACGCGGAAUUCCAGGUGUAGCGGUGAAAUGCGUAGAUAUCUGGAGGAACACCGGUGGCGAAGGCGGCGUUCUGGACCGUCUCUGACACUGAAGAACGAAAGCCAGGGGAGCAAACGGG